CGCUGCUACUCCAGGUCCCGCUGCUGAGCGAGAGCCCAGGUUGCUUGCCACGCGAUGCCACAGGGUCAACAUCAAGGAGGUUGGGAGAUGGUGAGUGCGCGGCUCUGCGCCCCGAAGGGAGGAUGUGGAACCAGAGCUGGAUGUGGUGGGAGCAGGAAGUGGUGGCCGGGACUGCGCGGUCCCCUCUGGAGUCCGGAGUGCUGCUCUGGGGCGGCUCAGCUCCCAGUUCCCUCUGGCGUUUCAGGCGGGUGGAGUCAGCAGCUGGACGCUGUACGUCCUGUCCCCUUCCUACCCCGUGUGUUGGCUUCAGCCCCUCGCGUUCUGUCCCCUCCCCGUGUGGUGGCGUCAGUCCCUGGGGUCCUGUUCCCUCCCCGCGCCAUGUGGUGGCUUCAGCCCCCCGGGUCCUGUCCCCUCCCUUGGUACUUGGUUAAGCCUAGACCGUUUCUCUCCCAGCACUAGGUAAAGGAAGAUGCAAACCACAGGACAAUGUAGUUAGGGUGCCCUAUGUGUGGUCCCAAUCUUCCUCACUCAGGUGACACUGAUUCUUGGUGAUUCUGUCCCAGUGAUAUGGCACACGUCCUAAGGCUGGACUCAUGCCCAACUCCACCACAGCUUUUCUUACUCAUUUGAUGUCAGGUAUUUUUUUUUUUUCAGUUGUGCAAUGUAUGUCUUUGAACUCAUUUAUAGCUUUGUCUAAGGGGGACUUGAAGCACAAGAUGUUCAACAAAGUGUCCAUGGAUGCAGGGAGAAUCAGGACUCACCUAUUCCGCCGUAUGUUCAACUUCACCCCCUUGACAUCUGACUUUUAUGGUGAUGGUGGGGUUCCACCCCAGACCUUGCACAUUCUGCACACACACUGCCCAAGUACUUACCUUUACAUUUGGGCAUUAUCAUCCAUUCACGUUUAAUCUUAUCCUCAAUGAGGUUGGAUUUAUAUAGGCCUUUCUACUUCAUCGUACUAAAAAUACAAAGUUCAGGUAUGGAUUUUGUUUGUAUUAUGAUCUCUUGGUCUUUAUUAUUACAAAGUUAUAGUUUCAUAAUAUACAUCAGGGUCAGGAAAAGACAACUUCUUUUGCUCUUGUAAUUCAGAAAUUUCUUGGCUGAUUUCAUAUAUAUUUAACUUCCAGAUGGAUUUUAGAACUUUUUGCUUUGGUCCCUUCUUCAACUAAAAAUGAAGAGGCUGUUGGUCAGUGGUAGAGCGCUUGACUAGCACAUGUGAGGCACUGGGUUCGAUCCUCAGCAUCACAUAAAAAU
rnacentral:lncRNA from 1 species